CUACGGGUGGCUGCAGUGGGGAAUAUUGGACAAUGGGCGAAAGCCUGAUCCAGCCAUGCCGCGUGUGUGAAGAAGGCCUUCGGGUUGUAAAGCACUUUCAGUGGGGAAGAAAGCCUUGGGGCUAAUACCCUCGAGGAAGGACAUCACCCACAGAAGAAGCACCGGCUAACUCCGUGCCAGCAGCCGCGGUAAUACGGAGGGUGCGAGCGUUAAUCGGAAUUACUGGGCGUAAAGCGCGCGUAGGCGGUCUGAUAAGCCGGUUGUGAAAGCCCCGGGCUCAACCUGGGAACGGCAUCCGGAACUGUCAGGCUAGAGUGCAGGAGAGGAAGGUAGAAUUCCCGGUGUAGCGGUGAAAUGCGUAGAGAUCGGGAGGAAUACCAGUGGCGAAGGCGGCCUUCUGGACUGACACUGACGCUGAGGUGCGAAAGCGUGGGUAGCAAACAGGAUUAGAUACCCAGUAGUC
rnacentral:rRNA from 1 species